CAGAAAGGGGGGAAGCCAGGGAGUAGAAGGAGAGUGUAUCUCUUGGCUGUAGCAACUGGGAAGUCCUUCAGGUGGCAAUUCCCUUGCUGUAUAUGGCCAUAGACUUGCACCCUUUGCCAUCCAGACCCACCACUUUUGGUUUAACUAUGGCAUACUUUGAAGACUGAUAGCCUCUAUUGAUCUGAAGACUUCCACCAUAUCCCUUGAUGCCAUGAUUCUGAAGCUGUAGUUGGCCAGAAGGUGCUUAUCCCACUGCGACACCCCUGUGAUGGCACAACUUCCAGGGAGCCGUGCUGGACCUUAGAAGGGUCAUAGAAUCAUAGACUCGUAGGACUGGAGGGUGCCUUUCACCGAAUCUGAAUAUACUAGACCCUCCUCGUUAAUGACCCCAGGACUUCCUAUUUGGGGAAUACAAAGAAUAAUGCAUCUGCAGCUUACAGGAAGUCAAAGGCUCUGAUUUCCUGCAGAGGCAGUACAAGAACAAACCGGGAACACAUAUUUCACAACGGCAGUCGAAAGUGCACGUAAGCACCCUGGCGGCCUCCAAGAUGAAAACAAUUGGAAGGGGAACAUCCCUGGUCCCAAAAUCAUGUGCUGGUGUUUUGUUGCUUACACAAUAUGCCAUUAGAAAGUAGAUGUAGUUCAAGGUUAAUGAUUUUUUCAGGUGAUUAUAAAAUUUCCCCUUGGCAUGUGUCCUGGCUCUUACUUUCUUCAUUAGAACAAUCUUACUGAUGUAAGCGACAACCAUGAACUUAAUAUCAUCUACUUCUCAGAACAAUACAGCGACAUAUUCCUUUCUGGCUCUGUUUAAACGAGUGGGACCAGAUUCAUCCUGGUGUAACUCCAUCUAUUUCAGUGGAGUUUGCAUCAGGGUGUAUGUGUCACGUCAUGUUCAAGGGUGAGCCUGACUGAAGAUACUGUAUGUACUUGUCAUGAUUGUUAAUCAGCACAGAAUUUAAUCUGGACAAAUUGUGCAGCAGACCAAAUCUUAAUCAUAUUCUAGUUGUGAUUUAAAAUGAAAGACACAUGGAUAAGUGCAAGUAGCAGCCAACCUUCUGGGGUUAUGCAAUGUGAAAAGAGGGCAGGGGGAAAUAGAGCUUCCUAAGAAAGAGGCGUUAGUAAUUCCAUAAAGCAACUGAACGCUCCUUUAUGCACAAAAAGUAACACUUUAAAUUGUCCCCAAAAUUGCUUUGCAGUUGUUGUAUUUAAGGUACAUCAUCAACUUAAGUCACACUUCUACCUCAAUUUUUUUCCUACUACCGUUACAAGUAAUACUUUUUUGGGGGUCUGGGGAGGUUCAGUGGAUUUACUUUUGUGCAUUUAACAGCACUUUAUUAUAGUCACAUUGACUGUUUUGUCAUAGUUGUUUUGCCAGUGUCAAUGUAUUCAUCCCUGUUGAUUCUCAGUACAAGAAAUCCCAUUAUUUAUAUUCUGUACCGAUACCAUAAAAGCUGUGCAUAAUAAGAUCUAAAAAGGGGCAGAGCUUUAGUCUUAUCUCAGAAACAGUUUUAAAUCAAUCCACUCCAUUGCCUUCCCUGGAAUUGUUCCUGAUCCGUGCUGGUGUAAAAUAGGAGAAUCAGGCCCUUCAGAAUGUUUAGAAAGUGCUAAAACAUGGUCUAGUAUACUUCACUGAGGAAAGAGUGACUAAGCGGAAACGGAAUU